GACGAACGCUGGCGGCGUGCUUAACACAUGCAAGUCGAACGAAGAGCGAUGGAAGCUUGCUUCUUUCAGUCUUAGUGGCGAACGGGUGAGUAACGCGUAAUCAACCUGCCCUUCAGAGGGGGACAACAGUUGGAAACGACUGCUAAUACCGCAUACGAUCUAAUCUCGGCAUCGAGGAUAGAUGAAAGGUGGCCUCUACAUGUAUGCUAUCACUGAAGGUGGGUAAUGCGUCUGAUUAGCUAGUUGGAGGGGAAACGGCCCACCAAGGCGAUGAUCAGUAGCCGGUCUGAGAGGGUGAACGGCCACAUUGGGACUGAGACACGGCCCAGACUCCUACGGGAGGCAGCAGUGGGGAAUCUUCCGCAAUGGACGAAAGUCUGACGGAGCAACGCCGCGUGAGUGAUGACGGCCUUCGGGUUGUAAAGCUCUGUUAAUCGGGACGAAAGGCCUUCUUGCGAAAAGUUAGAAGGAUUGACGGUACCGGAAUAGAAAGCCACGGCUAACUACGUG
rnacentral:rRNA from 1 species